GACGAACGCUGGCGGCGUGCUUAACACAUGCAAGUCGAGCGGUAAGGCCCUUUCGGGGGUACACGAGCGGCGAACGGGUGAGUAACACGUGGGUGACCUGCCCUUAGCUCUGGGAUAAGCCUGGGAAACUGGGUCUAAUACCGGAUAUGACUCCAUAACGCAUGUUGUGGGGUGGAAAGCCUUGUGCGGCUAGGGAUGGGCCCGCGGCCUAUCAGCUUGUUGGUGGGGU
rnacentral:rRNA from 1 species